UACGGGGGGGGCAAGCGUUGUUCGGAAUUACUGGGCGUAAAGGGUUCGUAGGGGGCUUGCUAAGUCAGACGUGAAAUCCCUCAGCUUAACUGGGGAACUGCGUCUGAUACUGGCGAGCUUGAGUGCAGGAGAGGAACGCGGAAUUCCAGGUGUAGCGGUGAAAUGCGUAGAUAUCUGGAGGAACACCGGUGGCGAAGGCGGCGUUCUGGACUGCAACUGACACUGAAGAACGAAAGCCAGGGGAGCAAACGGG
rnacentral:rRNA from 1 species